rnacentral:lncRNA from 1 species
CUUUGUUUUGACCAUGUGUUUGUAUCUUCUAUAUCUAUGUUUUGAUGAUGUGUUGGUAUCUUCGAUAUCUUCUAUAUCUUUGUUUCCAUCAUGUGUUGAUAUCUUCUAUAUAUUUGUUUUGACAAUGUGUUAAUAUCUUCUGCAUUUUUGUUUCCAUCAUGUGUUAGUAUCUUCUAAAUUUUUGUUAUGACGAUGUGUUGAUAUCUUCUACAUUUUUGUUUCCAUCCUUUGUUGGGAUCUUCUGUAUUUUUGUUUUCACCUUGUGUUGAUAUCUCUUACAUUGUUGUUAUCCCAUGAGUUGGUAUCUUCUACAUAUAUGUUUUUACCAUGUGUAACAGUUCGUAUCUUCUUCAUCUAUGUUUGACCAUGUUUUGGUAUCUUGUUCAUUAUAGAUCAUGUAUGUAUGUCAUUUGUGUUUAAUAAUGUGCUGGUUUUUUCUUCCUGACAUGUUUAUGUGUUAGUCUGUAAUUCUGUGGGUUUUUUUCAAAUUCCUUAUUAUUCCAUGUUUGUGUAUCAUUGUAUUGUUUUAAUUACAUUGUCUUCUGUUGUGUAUCAUUGUAUUGUUUUUUUAUUACAUUGUCUUCUGUUGUGUAUCAUUGUAUUGUUUUAAUUACAUUGUCUUCUGUUUGUGUAUCAUUGUAUUGUUUUAAUUACAUCGUUUUCAUAUUGUUGAUAAUGUGUUGGUAUCUCCUACAUGAUAUUUUAUACAGAGCGCAUUUGUUUCUAACCUAAACGAUGUAAACGAUUACGCGCGUAGUUGUUUAAUCCAUUUGUUUCUUACAUUUUUUGGUCAACGUUGACAUCAUUCACAUAAACGAUGUACGCGCAAAAUAGUCGCGUAGUCAUUGAUCGUUUAUCGUUGAGACGUGUAAACGAUAUAUAUUUGUUUCUGCAUCUGUCAUUUAAAUAAUUACGAGCACGUGUUGUUUUCGCAAAGUCCUGGUUAUUUAUUUCCUGCACUUUUACCUGUUUGUUUACAGUGCGUGAGUGUAAUCUAUUUCUGUCCGACUACGCGGGGUCGAUAAAGUUUAUUAAACGAUGUAUUUGUUUCUAGCAGCUUAAGGUUUACUAAACGAUAGUCAUCGAUGACAAAAUAUCUGGUUAGAAACAAAUGCACUCACAAUGUCUUGAAUUUUCAACUUGAUCUUAUGUUUUCACUACGUAAUUGUUACACCUGUUUAGCAUCUCCUGUAAUUUUCCUGGUGACCUAUUUUUUAAAUUUU